rnacentral:rRNA from 1 species
AUUGAACGCUGGCGGCAUGCUUUACACAUGCAAGUCGAACGGUAACAGGCCUUCGGGUGCUGACGAGUGGCGAACGGGUGAGUAAUGCAUCGGAACGUGCCCAAUCGUGGGGGAUAACGUAGCGAAAGUUACGCUAAUACCGCAUAAGCCCUGAGGGGGAAAGCAGGGGAUCGCAAGACCUUGCGCGAAUGGAGCGGCCGAUGUCAGAUUAGCUAGUUGGUGGGGUAAAGGCCUACCAAGGCGACGAUCUGUAGCGGGUCUGAGAGGAUGAUCCGCCACACUGGGACUGAGACACGGCCCAGACUCCUACGGGAGGCAGCAGUGGGGAAUUUUGGACAAUGGGCGCAAGCCUGAUCCAGCCAUGCCGCGUGCGGGACGAAGGCC